rnacentral:rRNA from 1 species
CUCAGGGAGGUAGUGACAAGAAAUAACAACACUGGAAAUUUUAUUUCUAGUGAUUGGAAUGAUGGGAAUUUAAACCCCUUUCAGAGUAACAAUUGGAGGGCAAGUCUGGUGCCAGCAGCCGCGGUAAUUCCAGCUCCAAUAGCGUAUAUUAAAGUUGUUGCAGUUAAAAAGCUCGUAGUUGGAUGUCUGCUGGAAGCAAUCAGUCCGCCCUAUUUGUAGGGUGUGCACUUGAUGAAUUCUGGCAUCUAUGUCCCAAUGAUGUGAUGGUGUAUACCUUGUGUAUUACCAUCUAUAUUGGGAUAAUACCGUUACUUUGAGAAAAUUAGAGUGUUUGAAGCAGGCUAAUUGCCUUGAAUACUGCAGCAUGGAAUAACAAUAUAGGAUUUCGGUUCUAUUUUGUUGGUUUCUAGGACUGAAAUAAUGAUUAAUAGGGACAGUUGGGGGCAUUCGUAUUUAACUGUCAGAGGUGAAAUUCUUAGAUUUGUUAAAGACGAACUACUGCGAAAGCAUUUGCCAAAGAUGUUUUCAUUAAUCAAGAACGAAAGUUAGGGGCUCGAAGACGAUCAGAUACCGUCGUAGUCUUAACCAUAAACUAUGCCGACUAGAGAUAGGAAAAUGUCAUUUUUCUGACUU